CAGUCGAGCGUGAAGUCCCUUCGGGGGCGAGUAAAGCGGCAGACGGGUGAGUAAUACAUAGGUAAUCUACCUUCGAGCUUGGGAUAACCCCGCGAAAGUGGGGCUAAUACCGGAUAAGACCACGUGGUUUACGCCACGGGGUAAAAGGUGGCUUUUUCUUCGGAUGAGGCUAUCACUUGAAGAUGAGCCUGUGGCCUAUCAGCUUGUUGGCGGGGUAAGAGCCCACCAAGGCUAUGACGGGUAGUUGGUCUGAGAGGACGACCAACCACACUGGGACUGAGACACGGCCCAGACUCCUACGGGAGGCAGCAGUGGGGAAUAUUGGGCAAUGGGCGAAAGCCUGACCCAGCGACGCCGCGUGGGUGAUGAAGGCCUUCGGGUUGUAAAGCCCUGUCAUGCGGAAAGAACAGUCCCGUAACGAAUAAUUGCAGGAUUUGACGGUACCGCAGGAGGAAGCACCGGCUAACUCCGUGCCAGCAGCCGCGGUAAUACGGAGGGUGCAAGCGUUGUUCGGAAUUAUUGGGCGUAAAGGGCGCGUAGGCGGUAAUGAAAGUCAGAUGUGAAAUACUUCAGCUCAACUGAAGAACUGCAUCUGAAACUUCAUAACUAGAGUACGGAAGAGGGAAAUGGAAUUCCCGGUGUAGAGGUGAAAUUCGUAGAUAUCGGGAGGAACACCAGUGGCGAAGGCGAUUUCCUGGUCUGGUACUG
rnacentral:rRNA from 1 species